ACGGAGGGUGCAAGCGUUGUUCGGAAUUACUGGGCGUAAAGGGCGCGUAGGUGGUUGUGUAAGUCAGAUGUGAAAUCCCUCGGCUCAACCGGGGAACUGCAUUUGAUACUGCAUGACUAGAGUGCAGCAGAGGGAAGCGGAAUUCCUGGUGUAGAGGUGAAAUUCGUAGAUAUCAGGCGGAACACCGGUGGCGAAGGCGGUUUCCUGGGCUGAAACUGACGCUGAGGCGCGAAAGCGUGGGUAGCAAACAG
rnacentral:rRNA from 1 species